GUCUCACUUCCAAUUCUGGCACUGCUCCUGGUGGUUCAAUUGUAAAUACUGAUGAAAAAAAUUCUCCCAACUCAUCGGCUUUCUCCUUGUCACUUUGUCUUUUUAUUUUGGUCACCUCCCUUAUAUAAUUCUGUAAUCCCAGAUACUGUCUUUGUCUUGGAGUUAACAUACUUCCAGAAAAUUUUUGGAUUGUGUUUUAAAUUUUGUGCUAUUGUUUGUUCCUUCAAUUUAACUCCUUUCCUUGUUUCUUUCCUAACCUGAUUAUUUAAAUGUCUGUACUCACUUAAAACUCUCUGAUAUUCCUCAUUUCCACUGUUAUUUCUUUCUAACAAUUUCUUCAAUCUUUCCCAUAGCCUUUGCUUUUUCUUAAUCUUCGCCCUAAGUUUUCUGUUCAUGGGUAAAUCACUGUUUACGUUUUUCCUUGUUUCCCUUUCUUUAAACACUCUGCAUGGUAUGCAUUCUCUGAUAACUUCUUGCAUUUUAGUUGUAAAUCUAUUCCACAUGUCAUCUAUACUUCCAGUAUUCAAGUAUACUUUCCAGUCUAUACUUAGCUUCUCCUUCAUUCUUAAGUAAUUUCCCCUUUCAUAUAAGUACACAUUCUUCUUUGUCUUCCUUAUCUGUGGUUCUAUAUCACAAUGAAAAAUUAUACUACUAUGGUCACUUUUGCCGAAUGGUGUUGGUGGUAGAAGGAGGAAGACUUAGUAUUAAACACCGAGGAAAAGUAAUUGUUUAAGAGGUUUGCAAUGUGUUGGCUGUCAGUCACUAGUGCACCGUCGCUGUUUGUUAAAGGUCCAAUACCACUUCUGAUCGCCUUUCUGUUGUUUUUGUAACUGAAGAAAGAUUUCGGAUUAUUUUUACAGUUGGCUGCAAUAUUUUCUUCAUAUCUACGCUUUGCCUGACAUACUAAUCUUUUUACUCAUCGCCUGGCAUCAUUAUCAAGUCUAAUGUUUUCGGGCGUGCAUAGUUCUUUCUUUAACCUGUAAAACAAUUUUCUCUCCUUGACUGAGUGUUUAAUUUCGCUAUUAAACCGAGGUGGGCUUUUAUUAGUGUUAAUUCGCUUCUCGCACAAGGGGACGAAUGUGUUCUGCUGAGUGAGUACGUGAUUUUUAAAGCUUAGCCAGGCUUCCUCUACAUUGCCGUCAUCUGAUAGUUGUAUUUCUAUUAGUUUUUGUCGGAUUUCUACGAAGUUAGCUCUUUUGAAAUUGGGCACCUUUACUUUAUUUUCAGUCACUGAUGUUUGAGCUCUAAUGUCGACGCGCACUAAUUUAUGAUCGCAAGAACCGAGGUGUCCUCCUACCGUGACAUUACUGACUAGGUUAUCUUGGGUCGUUAUAACAAGGUCGAGUAUGUUAUUUUGUCGAGUUGGUUCAGAAACAAUUUGGCUUAGAUAAUUUUCUUCUAGAAAUUCGAUCAUUUUAUGUGACUCGCCUUCUGUACCUGACAGUGUCGCCCAGUCGAUAUGGGGGAGGUUAAAGCCUCCUAAUAUCAGUGAGUCGUUGUUAUUAAGUGACUGUCUUAAAACGCUGUACAUUUCAAGGUCGUCAUCGAAUGAUUGAUUGCCCGGGAGGCCUGUAGGUGACAGAUAAUAUUUAAAUUGACUUUUGCAAUGUUUACUCGCACGCACAAAUGUUCAACGUUACUGUUUCUUGGUGUUUUGUCAGUGGGUUGCAAAUAGCUUUUGAUAAAAAGGGAGACACCACCGCCUCUACGGUUUACACGAUCUUUGUUGAAGAGUCUGUAGCCAUCUAUGUUGUAUUCGGAACUUAAAUCAAUAUUUGAGGUGUCGAUAAAUGUUUCGGUUAUAUCAAUUAUGUCAAAAUUUUCUGUUAGAGCAAGACAUCUCAGUUCAUCAAAUUUGUUUCUUAGGCUACGCGCAUUGAAACUAAGGAUUUUUAAGUUAUUUAGAGGCUUGGUAAUUGAGGUGGUGGUAUUUGCGGGAUCACGAUUACGGGUUUGUUGCGAUGCAUGGCGUCUAUUUACACGGGCAAGGUGGAAGGACGUGGCUGAGUCUUUUUUUUUUGAUCGGGUGUCACGUACUGCGUCGUAGAGGAGCCUUCCGAUUUUGGCUGCCCCGAUGGGAGACAGGUGUAUUCCGUCCUUGUGGAAGAGAGAGAGAGAGAGAGAGAGAGAGAGAGAGAGAGAGAGAGAGAGAGAGAGAGAGAGAGAGAGAGAGAGAGAGAGAGGGGCAAGGUAUAGAUAGGUAACAGUUUCCCGUGUCAUAUGGAAUCCCUUCUAUCGCCUGUGUCUUGUCCCACACACCCAGGAGCUGCCGUGACGGAGGCCUGACUCACCGCCUGUGUCUUGUCCCACACACCCAGGAGCGGAGGCCUGACAUAUUGGGCGCCCGCAUUGAUAACGACCAAGACUGGAGACCAAGAUGCCGGGCCAGGAGUGGGAGACAUCACGAAGAUUCACACAUAGAUCCUCCUCCUCCUCCUCCUCUCUGUCUAUCUUCAUCCCUUCCUUCCUUUUAAUAAGUCCAAGUUAUCUUUUGCUUAAUUAACGUUUAUAAUUCUUUCUGGUGGUCAAAUCUUGCAUCCCAUUUCCAUUCGUUCAUUCUCUCUCCUCCUCCUCUCUGUCUAUCUUCAUCCCUUCCUUCCUUUUAAUAAGUCCAAGUUAUCUUUUGCUUAAUUAACGUUUAUAAUUCUUUCUGGUGGUCAAAUCUUGCAUCUCAUUUUCCUAUCGUCCAUUCUCUCUCCUCCUCCUCCUCAUAAUCCAGUUCCUUCUAUUCUCCUUUAUUUCUUUUUCACUUCUCUUCCUUCUCUUUUCCAUUCCCCUUCCCCGACUCUCCUCCAUUCUUUCCUCCUCUAUUCUUCCUUCAUCUCCUCCUUUCACUCCUCCUCUUUGUCUAUCUUCAUUCGUUCUUUCCUUUUAAUUAAUGUCUAAGUUAUCUUUUGCUUGAGGUUCUUUCUAGUGUGUUUGUGGUGCCCGGCUCUGGUCACCAGUUUUGUUUUGUCACUGUAUAAUUGUCAGUCCUAGUUUGUUUUGUCACUAUAAUUGUCAGUCCUAGUUUGUUUUGUCACUGUAUAAUUGUCAGUCCUAGUUUGCUUUGCCACUGUAUAAUUGUCAGUCCUAGUUAGUUUUGCCACUGUAUAAUUGUCAGUCCUAGUUUGUUUUGUCACUGUAUAAUUGUCAGUCCUAGUUUGUUUUGUCACUGUAUAACUGUCAGUUCAAGUUUGUUUUGUCACAAUAAUUGUCAGUCCAAGUUUGCUUUGUCAUUGUAUAAUCGUCCGUCCCAGCCAGGCGCCUCUUCCAUGUAAAGAUAUCGACAGCUUCAAGCCUUGCCAAUAUCUCAAUCCGUACGUGAAUGUAAAUUAACCGAAAUCCUUGUUACUAAGCCCUGCACGGUGCUCUCUCACAUAAUGCUUCUUUAACUCAACUUCCGGGGUUAGUAAUAUAUUUUGCCAUGAGUUAACUCCCCGUGAUGGCCAGUUUCAUGCACUACAUAUAUAUAAGUAAUUUUCCUUUUGCAUGGCUAUAAUUCUGCAUCCGUGUCUAAGGCCCAGUUUCACAGUUCCUCAUGAUGGGUUAGUAAGCUCCGAAACCAAUACCAGAGCCUUCGAAAUUUCCUUGUACGGUGUCUGGAGUUUAUAUUCAAGUUCACAAAUUUGACGAGACUAUACAGGAAAGGUCUUGUGUGUUUAUGCUACGAAGGAAAGGUUGGAGAAGGGAGAUUGGGAGAGGAGUGAGCCGAGAUGGUGUUUAUAUUCAAGUUCACAAGUUUGACGAGACUAUACAGGAAAGGUCUUGUGUGUUUAUGGUACGAAGGAAAGGUUGGAGAAGGGAGAUGAGAUUGAGAGAGGAGUGAGCCGAGAUGGUGUUUAUAUUCAAGUUCACAAGUUUGGCGAGACUAUACAGGAAAGGUCUUGUGUGUUUAUGCUACGAAGGAAAGGUUGGAGAAGGGAGAUGAGAUUGAGAGAGGAGUGAGCCGAGAUGGUGUUUAUAUUCAAGUUCACAAGUUUGGCGAGACUAUACAGGAAAGGUCUUGUGUGUUUAUGGUACGUAGGAAAGGGAGGGGAAGGGAGAUGAGAUUGAGAGACGAGUGAGCUGAGAUGGUGUUUAUAUUCAAGUUCACAAAUUUGACAACACAAUACAGGAAAAGCUCUGUGUAUUUAGUGUGUCAUCGAAGACCGCGCCAUUUAGAACAGUAUGGGAUUCUAUAGCUUGGUUCGGGAGUGUUACAAAGACCAUGAUGGACUGUGGAAGCGGCCCUUAAUGUUCCCUUUUCUAAUAUGCCUCUCUGUUUUGCAGGAUGCCGCGGACGGACCAUGCAGAGGACUCAUCGCGACGACACCAACGGUUUGGUUAAGUGGGUUCUCUUGUGUGUGCGUCUGUGUGUGAAUGGCAGGCCUGUCGUAUGAUUGUGUGUGUGUGCGUUGGCGUUAUGCCUUCGCACUAUUAUUUUGUUAGGAUGUAUUUUUUUGUGUGUGAACUUUUUGCACGUAAUCUUUUUUUAUACCCAUAGCUAGCGUUUGUUUGUGUGGCAGUGUUCCGGGAGAUGGACGCCGGGGGAUAUGGGCUUGGGGAGGCGCACAUGACCUCCUCUGUCCGUGACCUCUUCAGCUGGGGAGACCGUGUGUUGCCCCGCCUGGAGAGACACGUUGAUGGAGGUGGCCGUGUGUGUCACCCUUUGCCUGUAUCCUCUGGCGCCCAGAGGCGCGUAAGUGGAGAGCAUCGGCGCAGCGCGGGAGCAGCACGUCAGGGUGUAGGGUGUUUGUUUAGCUGGUGUAGGGUGUUAGGGUGUUAGGUGUAACAACGGUUGGCUCUUUCACAGAACGGGUGUGAUUCCGUUCUGCGUUUGAGUCUUCCACCUUCAGACGGUCUCCCUCCGAGAUGUCUGAA